rnacentral:rRNA from 1 species
CAGCCGCCGCGGUAAUACGUAGGGUGCAAGCGUUAAUCGGAAUUACUGGGCGUAAAGCGUGCGCAGGCGGUUUUGUAAGACAGAGGUGAAAUCCCCGGGCUCAACCUGGGAACUGCCUUUGUGACUGCAAGGCUGGAGUGCGGCAGAGGGGGAUGGAAUUCCGCGUGUAGCAGUGAAAUGCGUAGAUAUGCGGAGGAACACCGAUGGCGAAGGCAAUCCCCUGGGCCUGCACUGACGCUCAUGCACGAAAGCGUGGGGAGCAAACAGGAUUAGAUACCCGGUAGUCCCUGUCUCUUAUACA